UACGUAGGAUCCAAGCGUUAUCCGGAAUCAUUGGGUUUAAAGGGUCCGUAGGCGGUUUUAUAAGUCAGUGGUGAAAUCUGGUCGCUCAACGAUCAAACGGCCAUUGAUACUGUUAGACUUGAAUUAUUGGGAAGUAACUAGAAUAUGUAGUGUAGCGGUGAAAUGCUUAGAUAUUACAUGGAAUACCAAUUGCGAAGGCAGGUUACUGCCAAUGGAUUGACGCUGAUGGACGAAAGCGUGGGGAGCGAACAGG
rnacentral:rRNA from 1 species